rnacentral:rRNA from 1 species
GGGUUGUGAGGUUAAGCGACUAAGCGUACACGGUGGAUGCCCUGGCAGUCAGAGGCGAUGAAGGACGUGCUAAUCUGCGAAAAGCGUCGGUAAGGUGAUAUGAACCGUUAUAACCGGCGAUGUCCGAAUGGGGAAACCCAGUGCAAUUCGUUGCACUAUCGUUAACUGAAUACAUAGGUUAACGAGGCGAACCGGGGGAACUGAAACAUCUAAGUACCCCGAGGAAAAGAAAUCAACCGAGAUUCCCCCAGUAGCGGCGAGCGAACGGGGAGCAGCCCAGAGUCUGAAUCAGCUUGUGUGUUAGUGGAACGGUCUGGAAAGUCCGACGGUACAGGGUGAUAGUCCCGUACACCAAAAUGCACAGGCUGUGAACUCGAAGAGUAGGGCGGGACACGUGGUAUCCUGUCUGAAUAUGGGGGGACCAUCCUCCAAGGCUAAAUACUCCUGACUGACCGAUAGUGAACCAGUACCGUGAGGGAAAGGCGAAAAGAACCCCGGCGAGGGGAGUGAAAAAGAACCUGAAACCGUGUACGUACAAGCAGUGGGAGCACCUUCGGGUGUGACUGCGUACCUUUUGUAUAAUGGGUCAGCGACUUAUAUUCUGUAGCAAGGUUAACCGUAUAGGGGAGCCGCAGGGAAACCGAGUCUUAACUGGGCGUUAAGUUGCAGGGUAUAGACCCGAAACCCGGUGAUCUAGCCAUGGGCAGGUUGAAGGUUGGGUAACACUAACUGGAGGACCGAACCGACUAAUGUUGAAAAAUUAGCGGAUGACUUGUGGCUGGGGGUGAAAGGCCAAUCAAACCGGGAGAUAGCUGGUUCUCCCGAAAGCUAUUUAGGUAGCGCCUCGUGAAUUCAUCUUCGGGGGUAGAGCACUGUUUCGGCUAGGGGGUCAUCCCGACUUACCAACCCGAUGCAAACUACGAAUACCGAAGAAUGUUAUCACGGGAGACACACGGCGGGUGCUAACGUCCGUCGUGAAGAGGGAAACAACCCAGACCGCCAGCUAAGGUCCCAAAGUCAUGGUUAAGUGGGAAACGAUGUGGGAAGGCACAGACAGCCAGGAUGUUGGCUUAGAAGCAGCCAUCAUUUAAAGAAAGCGUAAUAGCUCACUGGUCGAGUCGGCCUGCGCGGAAGAUGUAACGGGGCUAAACCAUGCACCGAAGCUGCGGCAGCGACACUAUGUGUUGUUGGGUAGGGGAGCGUUCUGUAAGCCUGCGAAGGUGUGCUGUGAGGCAUGCUGGAGGUAUCAGAAGUGCGAAUGCUGACAUAAGUAACGAUAAAGCGGGUGAAAAGCCCGCUCGCCGGAAGACCAAGGGUUCCUGUCCAACGUUAAUCGGGGCAGGGUGAGUCGGCCCCUAAGGCGAGGCCGAAAGGCGUAGUCGAUGGGAAACAGGUUAAUAUUCCUGUACUUGGUGUUACUGCGAAGGGGGGACGGAGAAGGCUAUGUUAGCCGGGCGACGGUUGUCCCGGUUUAAGCAUGUAGGCUGGUUGUCCAGGCAAAUCCGGAUAAUCAAGGCUGAGGUGUGAUGACGAGGCACUACGGUGCUGAAGUAACAAAUGCCCUGCUUCCAGGAAAAGCCUCUAAGCAUCAGGUAACAUCAAAUCGUACCCCAAACCGACACAGGUGGUCAGGUAGAGAAUACCAAGGCGCUUGAGAGAACUCGGGUGAAGGAACUAGGCAAAAUGGUGCCGUAACUUCGGGAGAAGGCACGCUGGUGUGUAGGUGAAGUCCCUGCGGAUGGAGCUGAGACCAGUCGAAGAUACCAGCUGGCUGCAACUGUUUAUUAAAAACACAGCACUGUGCAAACACGAAAGUGGACGUAUACGGUGUGACGCCUGCCCGGUGCCGGAAGGUUAAUUGAUGGGGUUAUCCGUAAGGAGAAGCUCUUGAUCGAAGCCCCGGUAAACGGCGGCCGUAACUAUAACGGUCCUAAGGUAGCGAAAUUCCUUGUCGGGUAAGUUCCGACCUGCACGAAUGGCGUAAUGAUGGCCAGGCUGUCUCCACCCGAGACUCAGUGAAAUUGAACUCGCUGUGAAGAUGCAGUGUACCCGCGGCAAGACGGAAAGACCCCGUGAACCUUUACUAUAGCUUGACACUGAACAUUGAGCCUUGAUGUGUAGGAUAGGUGGGAGGCUUUGAAGCGUGGACGCCAGUCUGCGUGGAGCCAACCUUGAAAUACCACCCUUUAAUGUUUGAUGUUCUAACGUUGGCCCCUUACCGGGGUUGCGGACAGUGUCUGGUGGGUAGUUUGACUGGGGCGGUCUCCUCCCAAAGCGUAACGGAGGAGCACGAAGGUUAGCUAAUCCUGGUCGGACAUCAGGAGGUUAGUGCAAUGGCAUAAGCUAGCUUGACUGCGAGCGUGACGGCGCGAGCAGGUGCAAGCAGGUCAUAGUGAUCCGGUGGUUCUGAAUGGAAGGGCCAUCGCUCAACGGAUAAAAGGUACUCCGGGGAUAACAGGCUGAUACCGCCCAAGAGUUCAUAUCGACGGCGGUGUUUGGCACCUCGAUGUCGGCUCAUCACAUCCUGGGGCUGAAGUAGGUCCCAAGGGUAUGGCUGUUCGCCAUUUAAAGUGGUACGCGAGCUGGGUUUAGAACGUCGUGAGACAGUUCGGUCCCUAUCUGCCGUGGGCGCUGGAGAAUUGAGGGGGGCUGCUCCUAGUACGAGAGGACCGGAGUGGACGCAUCACUGGUGUUCGGGUUGUCAUGCCAAUGGCACUGCCCGGUAGCUAAAUGCGGAAGAGAUAAGUGCUGAAAGCAUCUAAGCACGAAACUUGCCCCGAGAUGAGUUCUCCCUGAGACUUUAAGUCUCCUGAAGGAACGUUGAAGACGACGACGUUGAUAGGCCGGGUGUGUAAGCGCAGCGAUGCGUUGAGCUAACCGGUACUAAUGAACCGUGAGGCUUAACCUUACAACGCCGAAG